UACAGAGGGGGCAAGCGUUGUCGAAUUACUGGGCGUAAAGGGCGCGUAGGCGGCCUGUUAAGUCGAACGUGAAAUCCCCGGGCUCAACCCGGGAACUGCGUCCGAUACUGGCAGGCUUGAAUCCGGGAGAGGAAUGCGGAAUUCCAGGUGUAGCGGUGAAAUGCGUAGAUAUCAGGAGGAACACCGAUGGCGAAGGCAGGUCUCUGGGCAUUAACUGACGCUGAGGAGCGAAAGCAUGGGGAGCGAACAGG
rnacentral:rRNA from 1 species